rnacentral:sRNA from 1 species
CCUGUGCAACCGCACGAACAUCGUUGCUCUAAGAGGUUCGUCCCACGAUGCUAGGCGAGUCUUCACAAAAA